rnacentral:sRNA from 1 species
GCUCACUUCAGUAACAUAUAAAAUUGGAAUGAUACAGAGAAGAUUAGCAUGGAACAAAAUGAAAUAUUAAUCUCUUUGAUCUCAUAAUACCAUUUUU